UACAGAGGGUGCAAGCGUUAAUCGGAAUUACUGGGCGUAAAGCGUGCGUAGACGGUUAUGUAAGUCGGGUGUGAAAGCCCCGGGCUCAACCUGGGAAUUGCAUUCGAGACUGUCGUAGCUAGGGUACGGAAGAGGGAAGCGGAAUUUCAGGUGUAGCGGUGAAAUGCGUAGAUAUCUGAAGGAACACCAGUGGCGAAAGCGGCUUCCUGGUCCAGUACCGACGUUCAGGCACGAAAGCGUGGGGAGCAAACAGG
rnacentral:rRNA from 1 species